CCUACGGGAGGCAGCAGUGGGGAAUAUUGGACAAUGGGGGCAACCCUGAUCCAGCCAUGCCGCGUGUGUGAAGAAGGCCCUCGGGUUGUAAAGCACUUUCAGUGAGGAAGAACGCCUGGUGGUUAAUACCCAUCAGGAAAGACAUCACUCACAGAAGAAGCACCGGCUAACUCCGUGCCAGCAGCCGCGGUAAUACGGAGGGUGCGAGCGUUAAUCGGAAUUACUGGGCGUAAAGCGCGCGUAGGUGGCUUGAUAAGCCGGUUGUGAAAGCCCCGGGCUCAACCUGGGAACGGCAUCCGGAACUGUCAAGCUAGAGUGCAGGAGAGGAAGGUAGAAUUCCCGGUGUAGCGGUGAAAUGCGUAGAGAUCGGGAGGAAUACCAGUGGCGAAGGCGGCCUUCUGGACUGACACUGACACUGAGGUGCGAAAGCGUGGGUAGUAAACAGGAUUAGAUACCCGAGUAGUC
rnacentral:rRNA from 1 species